rnacentral:rRNA from 1 species
GUGCCAGCAGCCGCGGUAAUACGUAGGGUGCGAGCGUUAAUCGGAAUUACUGGGCGUAAAGCGUGCGCAGGCGGUUUUGUAAGUCAGAUGUGAAAGCCCACGGCUUAACCGUGUGAAGUGCAUCUGAAACUGGUCGGCUUGAGUAUCGGAGAGGAAAGUGGAAUUCCCGGUGUAGAGGUGAAAUUCGUAGAUAUCGGGAGGAAUACCGGUGGCGAAGGCGACUUUCUGGACGAAUACUGACGCUGAGGCGCGAAAGCGUGGGGAGCAAACAAGAUUAGAUACCCUGGUAGUCCACAGCUGU